rnacentral:rRNA from 1 species
UACAGAGGGUGCAAGCGUUAAUCGGAAUUACUGGGCGUAAAGCGUGCGUAGACGGUUGCGUAAGUCAGAUGUGAAAUCCCCGGCUUAACCUGGGAACUGCGUCUGAUACUGGAAGGCUUGAGGAUGGGAGAGGGAUGUAGAAUUCCAGGUGUAGCGGUGAAAUGCGUAGAUAUCUGGAGGAAUACCGGUGGCGAAGGCGGCAUCCUGGACCGGCAUUGACGCUGAGGAGCGAAAGCCAGGGGAGCAAACGGG